AUUGAACGCUGGCGGAAUGCUUUACACAUGCAAGUCGAACGGCAGCACGGGGCAACCUGGUGGCGAGUGGCGAACGGGUGAGUAAUACAUCGGAACGUGCCCAGUCGUGGGGGAUAACGUAGCGAAAGUUACGCUAAUACCGCAUACGAUCCAUGGAUGAAAGCGGGGGAUCGCAAGACCUCGCGCGAUUGGAGCGGCCGAUGUCAGAUUAGGUAGUUGGUGGGGUAAAGGCCUACCAAGCCGACGAUCUGUAGCUGGUCUGAGAGGACGACCAGCCACACUGGGACUGAGACACGGCCCAGACUCCUACGGGAGGCAGCAGUGGGGAAUUUUGGACAAUGGGCGCAAGCCUGAUCCAGCCAUUCCGCGUGCA
rnacentral:rRNA from 1 species